CUUUGUGUGUCUCACUCACGUCUUUCUGCUUUCACAAGACUCUCCAGCUCACAUAGAUUUGUGGUCUUUGGUUAAUUAGACUUGUCAGGAAAGUGUGUGUGCUGAUCAGCUUGCCUGAGUGCUAUGGUGGAGCAGGGAUUAGCUUAGAUUCCUCAUUGUAAGAUCUUGACUGUAACUAAGGCCAGCUCCUCUGCUGAUUCUUCUGCCAUCAAUCGUCACCAAAAUCCAGAAGUCAAGACUUCACAUUUCAGCCGAUAGCGUGAAAUAGACUGAAGACCUGGCACCCAGCAGCAGAUCACAGUGACCCAGGUUUGAUUGAUCACUGUGGUGGCAGCAGCUUCAUAAACAGGGCCCAUCCAUCAGUCUCUCCUGGGAACCACUGGAAGGCAAGAGGGGAAAGAGAGGAAGCCAGGCAGAAAUGUCACCAGCCACAGUGAGAGGUGGAGGGGCUUGAGGAGAGAGACCAGAGGCCUUGGCCCAAACACUGCUGACCAGAGCAAAGGACGACUCAACUCCAGUGUUCAUUUUAAUCCGGGACUACAUGACUAAAAGAUUCUACGAGGCUCGCCAUCACCAAGGCCUCGACCCAAAUGGGACACAGCAGGAGUGAGUCCACGUGUCUCACAUGUUGUCACAAUGUGUGUGUUUGUGUGUGCAAACGUGCAAACAUGCUGCCUGGUGUGUCGUUGUUCACGACUCUGCUUAGCUCCAUUCCAGCAUCUUCACCUUUUUUCAUUUUAGUGUUUAAACUAAAGUUUUGGUGAAACCUUUCCUAUAUGAAGGAUUACUGGGCCACUUGUUGUUUUAAUAAAAAACAUCCUUCAAUGUUGAGUUCAUGGAUUUUAAAGGACUGUUUUCUAAACCAGAGAUGCAUGUUCACGUAGCAAAGAAAAAAAAAAGUCCUGAGUGUUCCAUCACUCUGGCGGUUCUCGUGGUUUUUAAGACACGUUUUCAUCAGUAUGAACACAUUUCUAUUUUGUUUGAAGGUUUUUUUCAUGCUUUCAUAGCAGUAGAGAGAUGACAGGAAACAAGGGGAAAGGGGGAAGAGAUGGAAAAUGACUCCAAAACAGCCCCAGUCUGAUUUGAACCCAGGAAGGUGCAGUUAAUGGUUGGCACCUCAACCACAAAACCUCUAAACCACAGAGGUUUUCUGAUUAUCGUUUGGUUGUUUCACAGAUUUUGCUGUUGCAGAAUUAAACAGCGAAUUAAAGUUAACUUUAUUUGGCGAAUAACAUCUUUGCAUUUGGCUAAUUCGGGGGUAGUUGUGUUAUUCCACAGGUAAAGCCCUCUCAGGCCCCGACUUUCCUUUGGGGCAGCUGCUUAGUUUUAUCCCACUUGAUUGCUCUCUUGGCCACGACACAACACAGCUACUCUCUCUCCCUCUUACACACAGACACACACACUCCUGAGAACUUCCACACUAAGGCCCCACCGCAAAGUUAUUAAUGAGCUGUUUAAUUUUAAUUAGAUAGUAAUUCAUGUUAAUGCCUGCUUAAUGGAGCCAAAUAAUUCCCCUCGGUCACUCUGGGUCUUUAUGCUUCGUUUACCAGCCCCUGCAGUUAUUCUCCGGCUUUUGUUUUUAUAUUACAUUUCCAAGUCUUUUUUUUUUUUUUUUCCAAGCAAUGAGUGAAUGAUGAAACAGUAAACGCAGGAAAUCUAUGGAGUGAGUGAUGCAUGUGAGUGUAUGAAAAAAAAAAAGUGUCUGUGUGUAUCAGAGAGAAUGAAAACUAGCAUUCGCACUUCUGUCUAUUUAUAUUUCAUUUUCAUUUAAUUGAUUAUUUCACUGUGUUUUUUUUCCCACAAAUGUAUGUCUGCAUGUGGGAAAAGUUGAAAUACUUUGCCACAGACACCGACUGACUUAAUGCACAGGCCACUACAGUAAAUGCCUUAAGUCAGACCAAAGAAAGGUCAAACUCAGUAUUGAACACUAAGCAGGGUUAAACCCUCAGGUUGAAGUGCAGGUACCAAGACAUUUGCAAGAGAGAGGUCAUGACCUCUGUGUCCAGGCCAGGCCUCGAGGUAAAUUGCCGUUGCCUCUUGUCACGUGUGCAUCCACUGUGCUGCUGCUUACCUCGGGGAAGCAUUUGUUUGAGACCCCCCCCUCUUGAGGUUCAAACAUCGGUAAGGCUGUGUAGGAGUGACCACGCCAGCUCAGACCACCGUAUGUGUGUGUGAGAAGGAGCGGAGGGGUCAAUGCUGUUGAGUCUGUCUCGGUUCUGUCUGGGUGCCUCGGCUCUAACGGAGCACUAAGCUGAGUGGUUGAAUUGAGUUAGUGGCUACAGACAGGCUUUUAAUUGUUGAUUGACCAGUCUGAGUGCUUCCUGGGCUGGGGUCAUUGCAGAGAGCAGGCGAGGAGGUCCCCAGGCCCCAGCAGCAAUUUCAGCCACGCACACCUAAGCGCCGCGGAGGGGCGGAACGAGAGAGACGGAGAGCAGGAUGGUGCAAAGGUACUUAGGACACGAUUGAGAAGUGCUGAGAGACUUCAGAAAGUUUGAAAAAAAAAAUGUUGUGCCUUAUUCUUUUUUUUUUUUUUCUCCACGUGAAGUUUGAUCUCGGGAUUUACAGUGGCCGUGCGAUUCAAUCAAACAGAAACACAUAUUGGCGACAGCGUUGCAGUCGCUGUGAGCAGAGCAGGCUUUGAGGUCCAUAGAUUAGCAAGUUCAAUGUUUACUCCUCUACAAAAUCUCCUUCAUCUGUUUGACAAUUACAAAUUUACUUUGUGCCCGUUCCAUUCACUUCUUUGCCCCUGCGCUCCCUCCCUCUUUAUCCUCUCUUCUCUCUCCCCCUCUCAGCCCUCUUUCCUCUAAUUCUGCACGGGGCCACAAAAGCCCAUUCUGCGGGUUAGUUCUUCUCUCCUCUCCUCCUCCUCCUCCUUCUCCUCCACCUCCUCCUCCUCCUCCUCCCAGCUCACAGCAGGUGCCGGUCCUCGGCUAACAUUUGUUAUCUCUAAUCCUGCAGGUUCGGCGCACAAAAAGAGCGUAGUAAACUCUCUCUCAGACCUAAUCCCACCACUCCUUUUUUGAUGGCGCUCCCCUCGCCCUCCUCUCCUCUUUUCUCCCUUCACUAUCUCUCUUUUAGGCUGCUGGGGGGACACUCCACUUCUCUGAUUGCCACAUAGCUUUUUAUCACCAUGGCCUUCAAUUUGGGGGGCAGCUGUUGGUGGUGGGGGUGUCCUUUUUCCCCUCCGUUUCUUUAUACCUUCAAUUCCAACUCUUUCCUUUCUCUCUCCCUCUGUCUCCUAUUUUUUUGCCCCCUUCUCCCUCUCUCUCUGUAUCAUUUACAGUCAUUUUCUGGCAAUUAAAAUGGAGCGCUGCUGCAGGAUUUUCGCCUGCAGUGCAACACUACAGUGCUGAUGAAUAAUUCUUCACCCUGCAAACUGGAAAGCUAGCCUUUCUUUCAUGUCGGCCCUUUGUUGAUUUACCAUUAAAACUUACUGCACCGUGCUAUGAGUGGAGGGCCUGGCUCUGCGGGAACUAACAAAAAGCAAAAAUGAGGAUGAAGCAGAUAUGUACAUAUGCUUUGGGGUCUUUUUUUUCUUCUCUCCAGCCUAGGAUGAGGAAGUGGAGUUACGUAUGUGAGUCAUAUAUAUUUGUGUUUAUGGUUUAGAUUUACGGUGCAAGAGCCUUUUCAUUUAUGUCCACUGUCUCGUUCUGUAGCACUUAGGUUUUAUGUUAAUUUUUCUUAUCAACGGUUUUCAUUAUGGGGCUUAGCUGUAUUGUAUGAGUGAUGUGACGGUCAUUCAUCUCUGUUCCUCUUUCUCGCACACACUGACACACGCUCACGCAAACAGCAUGCUGUGACUGAUGUGUGGAUGGAGUGUGUGGGGUGGUAAAGCUGCAGAGGUGGGGUGGUGUUGGCACUAUGUUAAAUGAUGUGGGUCUUCAGGCCAGCCCAGUUUUCCACUGUUUUCUGUUAGCAACCUGGUGCGGACUAUUCUCUGCUCUGAGUAUAUUAGUUUAGAAGAACAAGUUUAUUGUCCCAGUAGGGGAAAAUAAAAGCUUAUAUUUGCCUUAUUAAGUGUCACAAUAAUAAAUAAAAAGACAAUAAAAUAAAUGGAGUAGAUCUAAGGAAAUAAAACAUGCAAGAUAAAGAGGACAGUGAUCAAUCAUCACAAAUUCUUGAAUUCAAUGGGCCUAUAUCCUGGACUUUAUUGACCCUGCUUUAAAUAGUUUGACAAAUAAGUCAAUAUGGAGUAUUUGAAUCUCUUUCUGUAGAGAAUCUGGGUUAUUUAUUCAAUCGACAUAAACAACACAACGUGACCACUUGCAAUUUAGCAAAUGGGAUUUUUAUUUUUCUUUCUGAACAGCUUAAAACAAACUAUAUUUGUAUUGUUGGGUUCUUAAAUGUCCGCAAAGAGAGUUUGA